rfam:Bacillus sp. LF1 genome assembly, contig: CONTIG000003
GCAAUAGAAUAAGAUUUUUCAAGGGUGGUUGGCACACUCCCAAACAGAAAGGGGGUGAUGCUGUAUGACAGUUUUUCAAGCUUUGAUGCUAGCAAAUCUUUUGCCAGUCUAGUCAUUGCAAUUCUGUCAUUUCAUAACCAUAAAAAAUAAUCCACCCUUGAGUUAUAGGCUCAGGUGGAUUAUUCCCGUCUAGCCGCCCCCUUUGAGGGACCGCCUAUUGCUGGACUGGACAUGUUACUGCAUGCUAA